rnacentral:rRNA from 1 species
AAGCUUACAUGAGAACAUUAUUAACAGACCCAGACAUAUACAAAAACUCCUACAAGACCAGGUAUAAACUCACCCUGUUAACCCGACUCAGGAGCGCCCAUAAGAGAGAUUAAAAUCUGUGAAAGGAACUCGGCAAAACAAGGCCCGACUGUUUACCAAAAACAUAGCCUUCAGCAAACAAACAAGUAUUGAAGGUGAUGCCUGCCCAGUGACCUAGGUUAAACGGCCGCGGUAUCCUAACCGUGCAAAGGUAGCGCAAUCAAUUGUCCCAUAAAUCGAGACUUGUAUGAAUGGCUAAACGAGGUCUUAACUGUCUCUCACGGAUAAUCAGUGAAAUUGAUCUCCCCGUGCAAAAGCGGGAUGUGAACAUAAGACGAGAAGACCCUGUGGAACUUAAAAAUCAACGGCCACCGCGAACCUAAGACUAAACCCACCGGGCUACAGACAUCGCAGAGCAUGGCCGAUAUUUUUCGGUUGGGGCGACCUUGGAGAACAACAGAUCCUCCAAAAACAAGACCACACCUCUUUACUUAGAGCCACCCCUCAAAGUGCUAAUAGUGACCAGACCCAAUAUAAUUGAUUAAUGGACCAAGCUACCCCAGGGAUAACAGCGCAAUCCCCCUCAAGAGCCCCUAUCGACAGGGGGGUUUACGACCUCGAUGUUGGAUCAGGACAUCCUAAUGGUGCAGCCGCUAUUAAGGGUUCGUUUGUUCAACGAUUAAUAGUCCUACGUGAUCUGAGUUCAGACCGGAGCAAUCCAGGUCGGUUUCUAUCUAUGAACUACUCUCCCCAGUACGAAAGGACCGGGAAAGUAAGGCCAAUACUACAAGCACGCCUUCCCUCUAAGUAGUGAAACCAACUCAACUAUGAAGAGGACUCCCCCCCACCACCCCAAUCCUAGAAAAGGAUCAG